rnacentral:rRNA from 1 species
AUACGGAGGAUGCGAGCGUUAUCCGGAUUUAUUGGGUUUAAAGGGAGCGUAGGUGGGAUAUUAAGUCAGCUGUGAAAGUUUGGGGCUCAACCUUAAAAUUGCAGUUGAUACUGGUUUCCUUGAGUACGGUACAGGUGGGCGGAAUUCGUGGUGUAGCGGUGAAAUGCUUAGAUAUCACGAAGAACUCCGAUCGCGAAGGCAGCUCACCGGGCCGGAACUGACACUGAUGCUCGAAAGUGCGGGUAUCGAACAGGAUUAGAUACCCUGGUAGUCCGCACAGUAAACGAUUAAUACUCGCUGUUUGCGAUACACGGUAAGCGGCCAAGCGAAAGCGUUAAGUAUUCCACCUGGGGAGUACGCCGGCAACGGUGAAACUCAAAGGAAUUGACGGGG